GCUUGUCAGGUGGUAGCAAGGACUAUGGAAGAAAAGUUUUAAACAGGGUGGGCAGGCAUUCAAGCAAAGGAGGAGGCUGGGGGUUGUCUGCGCAAGAGCAUUACCCAUGGAGGGUACAGAGAGGGCCGGGCUCGGUGGUGCAGCAAGGAGUGUGAGCAGAAGGUAGGUGGGAGGGAUAAUGGGCUGUGAGUCUGAGCGUUUGGGCUUUCCUCAGCAUGCAGUGGGACCUUCUGGAGAGUUCUGAGGAAAGGAGUGAUGUGCUCGCACUCUGUUUCUGAGGUGAACCAUCUCUACCCUCAGUCCCCACAGCUGAGAUGAGAACAAGGCCUCCAGGCCAGGCUAAGCGCAGUGCCUGACACAGAGAAGAGGAUCAAUCAACGUUUGCGGCAUAAGCCAAUGAAUGCAUGCACGGACGACAGGAUGGAUGAAAAACUGCAAGUGAAUUGGGCGAAGAUUUUCUUGUGAAACUGGAGACCCUGGUGAGAGUGGGCUGCAUGGUGAGCUGGAGCUCUCCACUGUGCUUUCAACAGAGCCUGGAGGGACUUCCCUGGUGGUCCAGUGGGUACAGAUUGCUUUGGUGGAAGAGAACUGCUGGCCCAAAGUCAUGUCCCUUCCCAGGCUGGCUGGCAUCCAAUGACAAGGCAAUCCACAACCUCAAGACCUUCUUCAAGGGACAGAACCAGAAACUGACAGACGGCUCGGUCUAUGUGGAAACCUGACCCCUAGUUCCAAUGUGAGGAAUCUCAGCAUAGUGUUGGCUGAGACUUCCCCUGAAACUACACUGCAGCUUGACUCCUCCCACUGCCACUCCUGCUCUCUGCCCUUCCUUCCACAGGAACUGAUCCCAAGGGUGCUCCCUAAUAAACCUCCUGCAUGCCAAUCUCUGCCUCAGAGUCUGCAUCCUGGGGGACGCAGCCCAUAACAACAGGGAAGGUAGGUGGGACUAGAUGGCAAAUCUUCCCAAAUUGUAUGUGGAGGA